rnacentral:misc_RNA from 1 species
GAACGCACAUUGCGCCCCUUGGUAUUCCAUGGGGCAUGCCUGUUCGAGCGUCAUUUGUACCCUCAAGCUCUGCUUGGUGUUGGGUGUUUGUCCACUCCCUGGUGUUUGGACUCGCCUUAAAGCAAUUGGCAGCCAGUGUUUUGGUAUUGAAGCGCAGCACAUUUUGCGUCUCCAGCCUAGAACACUUGCGUCCAGUAAGCCUUUUUCCACUUUUGACCUCGGAUCAGGUAGGGAUACCCGCUGAACUUAAG